UACGGAGGGGGGCUAGCGUUGUUCGGAAUUACUGGGCGUAAAGCGCACGUAGGCGGCUUUGUAAGUUAGAGGUGAAAGCCCGGGGCUCAACUCCGGAAUUGCCUUUAAGACUGCAUCGCUAGAAUUGUGGAGAGGUAAGUGGAAUUCCGAGUGUAGAGGUGAAAUUCGUAGAUAUUCGGAAGAACACCAGUGGCGAAGGCGACUUACUGGACACAUAUUGACGCUGAGGUGCGAAAAGCGUGGGG
rnacentral:rRNA from 1 species